GCCACACUGCCGGUCUGCCUCCGCCGUUCCACCCGUCAAACUCCGAUCAGAGAAGGGUUCCGAUUGCCACCGGUUUCGAUUUCUUUUCGGGGGAUGAAGUUAAAACUCGAAACUUUGCAGUUUUCAGUCUGAGGUGGAUUUUUUUGGUGGGUAGCAUGAAGGCUGAGAGCGGUCGACAGAAUGACUCUGUAAACGAGACCGUCCACAUUCAUUUCAUUGUUCGCUGCAUCAAUGGCUGGUGAAGACAGAGGAGAACCCCAUUUAGGGCUGGGGAAUUUGGUGCUGCUAUUAGUAGAUAUUUCCUUGGCGUUUUCACUAGGCGCUUGGUGACUGAACUUUUCACUACAUUCACAUCUCGAAUAUCCUGGAGGUAUAAAGCUAGGCCUCUGGAGCUAAGAGAGCCAUCCAGAUAUUGCCAAAAUGUCUUCUUAUUCUUUCAUCUGCUAAGAAUGAAAUGUUGAUCUGAAUUUAAUGCUGCAGGAGCAUCACUGCAUCAGCACCUGAAAUUCUGGGGCUUAGCUACUUUGAACUGAAAUUUGCUUUGCUUACAAUUUCUCCUGAUGCCGGGGGCUG
rnacentral:lncRNA from 1 species